rfam:Schistosoma rodhaini strain Burundi genome assembly, scaffold: SROB_scaffold0009152
AUCCAGCAGACGAGUCCAAAAUAGGACGAAACGCGCGUCAAACUAGAU